rnacentral:rRNA from 1 species
AACGAACGCUGGCGGCAUGCCUAACACAUGCAAGUCGAACGAGACCUUCGGGUCUAGUGGCGCACGGGUGCGUAACGCGUGGGAACCUGCCCUUAGGUUCGGAAUAACUCCCCGAAAGGGGUGCUAAUACCGGAUAAUGUCUUCGGACCAAAGAUUUAUCGCCUUUGGAUGGGCCCGCGUUGGAUUAGCUAGUUGGUAGGGUAAAAGCCUACCAAGGCGACGAUCCAUAGCUGGUCUGAGAGGAUGAUCAGCCACACUGGGACUGAGACACGGCCCAGAAUCCUACGGGAGGCAGCAGUGGGGAAUAUUGGACAAUGGGCGAAAGCAUGAUCCAGCAAUGCCGCGUGAGUGAUGAAGGUCGUAGGGUUGUAAAGCUCUUUUACCCGGGAUGAUAAUGACAGUACCGGGAGAAUAAGCUCCGGCUAACUCCGUG